rnacentral:rRNA from 1 species
GGGCUUGACAUCCCACGAACCUGAUCAGAGAUGGUCCUUUCCCUUCGGGGACAGGGGAGACAGGUGGUGCAUGGUUGUCGUCAGCUCGUGUCGUGAGAUGUUGGGUUAAGUCCCGCAACGAGCGCAACCCUUGCCCCGUGUUACUAACAGGUCAAGCUGAGGACUCUCGGGGGACUGCCGGCGUCAAGCUGGAGGAAGGCG